rnacentral:rRNA from 1 species
UGGCGGCAUGCCUUACACAUGCAAGUCGAACGGCAGCGCGGGGCAACCUGGCGGCGAGUGGCGAACGGGUGAGUAAUAUAUCGGAACGUACCCUGGAGUGGGGGAUAACGUAGCGAAAGUUACGCUAAUACCGCAUACGAUCUAAGGAUGAAAGUGGGGGAUCGCAAGACCUCAUGCUCCUGGAGUGGCCGAUAUCUGAUUAGCUAGUUGGUAGGGUAAAAGCCUACCAAGGCAUCGAUCAGUAGCUGGUCUGAGAGGACGACCAGCCACACUGGAACUGAGACACGGUCCAGACUCCUACGGGAGGCAGCAGUGGGGAAUUUUGGACAAUGGGCGAAAGCCUGAUCCAGCCAUGCCGCGUGUGUGAAGAAGGCCUUCGGAUUGUAAAGCACUUUAAGUUGGGAGGAAGGGCAUUAACCUAAUACGUUGGUGUCUUGACGUUACCGACAGAAUAAGCACCGGCUAACUCUGUGCCAGCAGCCGCGGUAAUACAGAGGGUGCAAGCGUUAAUCGGAAUUACUGGGCGUAAAGCGCGCGUAGGUGGUUUGUUAAGUUGGAUGUGAAAUCCCCGGGCUCAACCUGGGAACUGCAUUCAAAACUGACAAGCUAGAGUAUGGUAGAGGGUGGUGGAAUUUCCUGUGUAGCGGUGAAAUGCGUAGAUAUAGGAAGGAACACCAGUGGCGAAGGCGACCACCUGGACUGAUACUGACACUGAGG